rnacentral:rRNA from 1 species
AAGAGACAGCAGCAGCCGCGGUAAGACAGAGGAUGCAAGCGUUAUCCGGAAUGAUUGGGCGUAAAGCGUCUGUAGGUGGCUUUUCAAGUCCGCCGUCAAAUCCCAGGGCUCAACCCUGGACAGGCGGUGGAAACUACCAAGCUGGAGUACGGUAGGGGCAGAGGGAAUUUCCAGUGGAGCGGUGAAAUGCGUUGAGAUUGAAAAGAACACCAACAGCGAAAGCACUCUGCUGGGACGACACUGACACUAAGAGACGAAAGCUAGGGGAGCAAAUGGGAUUAGAUACCCCUGUAGUCCCUGUCUCUUAUAA